AAUGUGGUAUAGAAAAGCACCAGUCCAGUAUUGGCUUCUCUGUCCACCAGAAUCUCAAGGAAUCACUGGAUCGCUGUCUUCUGGGAUUAUCAGAACAGCUUCUGAAUAAUUACUCAUCUGAGAUUACAAAUUCAGAAACUCUUGUCCGGUGUUCACGUCUUUUGGUGGGUGUCCUUGGCUGCUACUGUUAUAUGGGUGUAAUAGCUGAAGAGGAAGCAUAUAAGUCAGAAUUAUUCCAGAAAGCCAAGUCUCUAAUGCAAUGUGCAGGAGAAAGUAUCACUCUGUUUAAAAAUAAGACAAAUGAGGAAUUCAGAAUUGGUUCCUUGAGAAAUAUGAUGCAGCUAUGUACACGUUGCUUGAGCAACUGUACCAAGAAGAGUCCAAAUAAGAUUGCAUCUGGC
rnacentral:lncRNA from 1 species